rnacentral:lncRNA from 1 species
CCUUUUUCAUCACCAGCUUCAAUAUCAUUUACUUUAAUAAAAUCAGGAAAUGCCACUCGUUUUUUUAGAUCUUGUCCAUCCACGACCUCUCCACUAUCUAACUUCGGCUCGACUUUUUCAUAGUGAGCUUCGUCAUUAUUGUUAUCAUAAGAGGAAGUAACUUUACCUUCUUCCUUUUGUGCAUCUGCCAUUAUGCUUUUUCUGUUUAUCCCGUUGCCUUCUUUGACACCAUCACUUUCCUUCUGAAAAUAAGGGGACGAAACUCUCUUUUCAAUAUGCUGCCCAUCCAUCUUUUGCUUCCCCCCGUUGCUUUUCUUUCUCCUUUCUUCGAACUUCCUUCAACAUCCUUUAUAUCGCUAAAAUAAGGAGACACAACUCUUUUUUUCACAUCGUGUCCACUUCCCUCUCUCUUCUUCUUUCUCCGAGCAAACUUCACCCUUCGUAGUAAAAUAAGAAGACGUCACUCUCUUUUCUGUAUUAUGUUCAGCCCAAGUCCAGUAUUUCCUCAUUUGGCGCCUUCCCUCUUUCU